GACGGACGCUGGCGGCGUGCUUAACACAUGCAAGUCGAACGGAAAGGCCCUGCUUUUGUGGGGUGCUCGAGUGGCGAACGGGUGAGUAACACGUGAGUAACCUGCCCUUGACUUUGGGAUAACUUCAGGAAACUGGGGCUAAUACCGGAUAGGAGCUCCUGCUGCAUGGUGGGGGUUGGAAAGUUUCGGCGGUUGGGGAUGGACUCGCGGCUUAUCAGCUUGUUGGUGGGGUAGUGGCUUACCAAGGCUUUGACGGGUAGCCGGCCUGAGAGGGUGACCGGCCACCUUGGGACUGAGAUACGGCCCAGACUCCUACGGGAGGCAGCAGUGGGGAAUAUUGCACAAUGGGCGGAAGCCUGAUGCAGCAACGCCGCGUGCGGGAUGACGGCCUUCGGGUUGUAAACCGCUUUCGCCUGUGACGAAGCGUGAGUGACGGUAAUGGGUAAAGAAGCACCGGCUAACUACGUG
rnacentral:rRNA from 1 species